GGGGGCGUGGCGCAACGGUAGCGGUAAGUUCCCAAUGACUCGACAAGGAAAAGAAAUCCAACGUACUAAUUCCCCUCAUAGCGUCAGAUUCCAGAUCCAACUUGGAAUGUCCUGAAGGCUGUGCGUUCAAAUCGCACCGUCCUCA
rnacentral:tRNA from 1 species